rnacentral:rRNA from 1 species
CCUACGGGGGGCAGCAGUGGGGAAUAUUGGACAAUGGGCGAAAGCCUGAUCCAGCCAUGCCGCGUGUGUGAAGAAGGCCUUCGGGUUGUAAAGCACUUUCAGUGGGGAAGAAAGCCUUGGGGCUAAUACCCUCGAGGAAGGACAUCACCCACAGAAGAAGCACCGGCUAACUCCGUGCCAGCAGCCGCGGUAAUACGGAGGGUGCGAGCGUUAAUCGGAAUUACUGGGCGUAAAGCGCGCGUAGGCGGUCUGAUAAGCCGGUUGUGAAAGCCCCGGGCUCAACCUGGGAACGGCAUCCGGAACUGUCCGGCUAGAGUGCAGGAGAGGAAGGUAGAAUUCCCGGUGUAGCGGGGAAAUGCGUAGGGAUCGGGAGGAAUACCAGUGGCGAAGGCGGCCUUCUGGACUGACACUGACGCUGAGGUGCGAAAGCGUGGGUAGCAAACAGGAUUAGAUACCCCAGUAGUC